CAGGUGCCCAUGAUGGUUUUAAAUAUACUUUGAGAAAUCACUAUGAAAAGACUUUAAUCUGAGGCACUCU